UUUUGUGUUCACAAUGUUAAAAGUUAUGUUUCCCAAGCACUUUGUUAAACUUUCAGUUUAUUCCUAUAUAACUUCAGAGCUUUAAACUCGGUGCUCGAAUUGAAGGUUGUGCGGAUAUUUUAGCGACGGCCAAAGAGCUGGGACUAAAUGUUGUUGGAGUAAGUUUUCACGUCGGCAGUGACUGCUUCAAUGAGAUGUGCUUUAAAGAUUGUAUAUACAUUUCAAGACAGAUAUUUGAUCAGGCG